UACGUAGGGUGCAAGCGUUAAUCGGAAUUACUGGGCGUAAAGCGUGCGCAGGCGGUUUUGUAAGUCUGUCGUGAAAGCCCCGGGCUCAACCUGGGAAUUGCGAUGGAGACUGCAAGGCUUGAAUCUGGCAGAGGGGGGUAGAAUUCCACGUGUAGCAGUGAAAUGCGUAGAGAGGUGGAGGAACACCGAUGGCGAAGGCAGCCCCCUGGGUCAAGAUUGACGCUCAUGCACGAAAGCGUGGGGAGCAAACAGG
rnacentral:rRNA from 1 species